rnacentral:rRNA from 1 species
ACGCUCGACACCUACUGGAGGCAGCAGUGGGGAAUAUUGCACAAUGGGGGAAACCCUGAUGCAGCGACGCCGCGUGGAGGAAGAAGGUCUUCGGAUUGUAAACUCCUGUUGUUGGGGAAAAAGAGGAUGGUACCCAACAAGGAAGUGACGGCUAACUACGUGCCAGCAGCCGCGGUAAUCUGAGGCGGGCUGGCAAGGC